rnacentral:lncRNA from 1 species
AACACAACCUGUGUUGAUUAUACAAUGUUGGGAAUGAUGUGGCGACAACUUGUCAAGACAACACUUCACUUUUGCUUAAAAGCUUCAAGUGAAUCACACACGGUAAACUCCGUACUUCAAAGCUUAGGAGUAACCUUAAAAUAAUAAACUUACUUCUUAACUCGUGUUAUAGAAUCCACAAGCAAGAAUUACAAUCAAACAAUAAA